GAUGAACGCUAGCUACAGGCUUAACACAUGCAAGUCGAGGGGUAACGAGAGGAAAGCUUGCUUUCCUUGUCGACGACCGGCGCACGGGUGAGUAACGCGUAUCCAACCUGCCCCCAACUAGGGAAUAACCUUGCGAAAGUAAGACUAAUACCCUAUAAUUUCCUCAGAUGUCAUCUGACGAGGAAUAAAGAUUUAUCGGUUGUGGAGGGGGAUGCGUCUGAUUAGCUUGUUGGCGGGGUAACGGACCACCAAGGCAACGAUAAGUAGGGGGUCUGAGAGGAAGGUCCCCCACAUUGGAACUGAGACACGGUCCAAACUCCUACGGGAGGCAGCAGUGAGGAAUAUUGGUCAAUGGGCGGAAGCCUGAACCAGCCAAGUAGCGUGCAGGAUGACGGCCCUAUGGGUUGUAAACUGCUUUUAUACAGGAAUAAAGUUAGCCACGUGUGGUUAUUUGUAGGUACUGUAUGAAUAAGGACCGGCUAAUUCCGUGCCAGCCGCCGCCGUAA
rnacentral:rRNA from 1 species